CAGGGAGAGAGUUGAGUUAUGUACUAGACUGGUGGGGGUCAGGGAGAGAGUUGAGUUAUAUACUAGACUGGUGGGGGUCAGGGAGAGAAUUGAGUUAUGUUCUAGACUGGUGGGGGUCAGGGAGAGAGUUGAGUUAUGUACUAGACUGGUGGUGGUCGGGAGAGAGUUGAGUUAUGUACUAGACUGGUGGGGGUCAGGGAGAGAGUUGAGUUAUGUUCUAGACUGGUGGGGGUCAGCGAGAGAGUUGAGUUAUGUACUAGACUGGUGGGGGUCAGGGAGAGAGUUAUGUACUAGACUGGUGGGGGUCAGGGAGAGAGUUGAGUUAUGUUCUAGACUGGUGG
rnacentral:lncRNA from 1 species